GGGGGGGGGGGGGGGGGGGGGUGGGGGAGGCGGGUCGAGCGGGCGGGCGGGGAGCUGGCUCGCGGGGCGGUAGCGGCGGGCGGGUGAGUGACACGUGGGUACCCUCCCUAUAGGACUGGGAUAGCUUCGGGAAACCGGAGCUCAUACCGGACAAUAUAUUGAACCGCAUGGUUCAAUAGUGAAAGACGGUUUUGCGGUCACUUAUAGAUGGAUCCGCGUCGCAUUAGCUAGUUGGUAAGGUAACGGCUUACCAAGGCGACGAUGCGUAGCCGACCUGAGAGGGUGAUCGGCCACACUGGAACUGAGACACGGUCCAGACUCAUACGGGAGGCAGCAGUGGGGAAUUUUGGGCAAUGGGCGAAAGCCUGACGGAGCAACGCCGCGUGAGUGAUGAAGGUCUUCGGGUCGUAAAACUCUGUUAUUAGGGAAGAAAUAAUGUGUAAGUAACUAUGCAGGUGUUGACGGUACCGGAUCAGAAAGCCACGGCUAACUACGUG
rnacentral:rRNA from 1 species